UACGGAGGAUGCAAGCGGUAGCCGGAAUGAUUGGGCGUAAAGCGUCCGCAGGUGGCAGUUCAAGUCUGCUGUCAAAGACCGGGGCUUAACUUCGGAAAGGCAGUGGAAACUGAACAGCUAGAGUAUGGUAGGGGCAGAGGGAAUUCCUGGUGUAGCGGUGAAAUGCGCAGAUAUCAGGAAGAACACCCGUGGCUAAGGCGGCUCUCUAGUACGGUACUGACGCUGAGACGCGAAAGCGUGGGGAGCGAACCGG
rnacentral:rRNA from 1 species